rnacentral:rRNA from 1 species
GACGAACGCUGGCGGCGUGCUUAACACAUGCCUUUCGAACGGAAAGGCCCUGCUUUUGUGGGGUGCUCGAGUGGCGAACGGGUGAGUAACACGUGAGUAACCUGCCCUUGACUUUGGGAUAACUUCAGGAAACUGGGGCUAAUACCGGAUAGGAGCUCCUGCUGCAUGGUGGGGGUUGGAAAGUUUCGGCGGUUGGGGAUGGACUCGCGGCUUAUCAGCUUGUUGGUGGGGUAGUGGCUUACCAAGGCUUUGACGGGUAGCCGGCCUGAGAGGGUGACCGGCCACAUUGGGACUGAGAUACGGCCCAGACUCCUACGGGAGGCAGCAGUGGGGAAUAUUGCACAAUGGGCGGAAGCCUGAUGCAGCAACGCCGCGUGCGGGAUGACGGCCUUCGGGUUGUAAACCGCUUUCGCCUGUGACGAAGCGUGAGUGACGGUAAUGGGUAAAGAAGCACCGGCUAACUACGUGCCAGCAGCCGCGGUGAUACGUAGGGUGCGAGCGUUGUCCGGAUUUAUUGGGCGUAAAGGGCUCGUAGGUGGUUGAUCGCGUCGGAAGUGUAAUCUUGGGGCUUAACCCUGAGCGUGCUUUCGAUACGGGUUGACUUGAGGAAGGUAGGGGAGAAUGGAAUUCCUGGUGGAGCGGUGGAAUGCGCAGAUAUCAGGAGGAACACCAGUGGCGAAGGCGGUUCUCUGGGCCUUUCCUGACGCUGAGGAGCGAAAGCGUGGGGAGCGAACAGGCUUAGAUACCCUGGUAGUCCACGCUGUAAACGGUGGGUACUAGGUGUGGGGUCCAUUCCACGGGUUCCGUGCCGUAGCUAACGCUUUAAGUACCCCGCCUGGGGAGUACGGCCGCAAGGCUAAAACUCAAAGGAAUUGACGGGGCCCCGCACAAGCGGCGGAGCAUGCGGAUUAAUUCGAUGCAACGCGUAGAACCUUACCUGGGUUUGACAUGGGUCGGGAGUGCUCAGAGAUGGGUGUGCCUCUUUUGGGGUCGGUUCACAGGUGGUGCAUGCCUGUCGUCAGCUCGUGUCGUGAGAUGUUGGGUUAAGUCCCGCAACGAGCGCAACCCUUGUUCACUGUUGCCAGCACGUUAUGGUGGGGACUCAGUGGAGACCGCCGGGGUCAACUCGGAGGAAGGUGGGGAUGACGUCAAGUCCUCAUGCCCCUUAUGUCCAGGGCUUCACGCAUGCUACAAUGGCUGGUACAGAGAGUGGCGAGCCUGUGAGGGUGAGCGAAUCUCGGAAAGCCGGUCUCAGUUCGGAUUGGGGUCUGCAACUCGACCUCAUGAAGUCGGAGUCGCUAGUAAUCGCAGAUCAGCAACGCUGCGGUGAAUACGUUCCCGGGGCU